GUAGGGAAUAUUGGACAAUGGGCGAAAGCCUGAUCCAGCAAUGCCGCGUGAGUGAUGAAGGCCUUAGGGUUGUAAAGCUCUUUUACCAGGGAUGAUAAUGACAGUACCUGGAGAAUAAGCUCCGGCUAACUCCGUGCCAGCAGCCGCGGUAAUACGGAGGGAGCUAGCGUUGUUCGGAAUUACUGGGCGUAAAGCGCGCGUAGGCGGCGAUUUAAGUCAGAGGUGAAAGCCCGGGGCUCAACCCCGGAAUAGCCUUUGAGACUGGAUUGCUAGAAUCCUGGAGAGGUGAGUGGAAUUCCGAGUGUAGAGGUGAAAUUCGUAGAUAUUCGGAAGAACACCAGUGGCGAAGGCGGCUCACUGGCCCAAUACUGACGCUGAGGCGCGAAAGCGUGGGGAGCAAACAGGAUUAGAUACCCUAGUAGUCC
rnacentral:rRNA from 1 species